rnacentral:rRNA from 1 species
GGUUUGAUCAUGGCUCAAGAUUGAACGCUGGCGGGAUGCUUUACAUGCAAGUCGAACGGCAGCACGGACUUCAGUCUGGUGGCGAGUGGCGAACAGGUGAGUAAUGUAUCGGAACGUGCCUAGUAGCGGGGGAUAACUACGCGAAAGCGUAGCCAGCUACCGCCGCCCUUCGGGGAAAGCGGGGGACCUUCGGGCCUCGCACUAUUAGAACGGCCGAUAUCGGAUUAGCUAGUUGGUGGGGUAACAGCUCACCAAGGCGACGAUCCGUAGCUGGUUUUGAGGACGACCAGCCACACAAAGGACUGAGACGGCAGACUCCACAGGAGAGGCAGCAGUGGGGAAUUUUGGACAAUGGAAACCCUGAUCCAGCCAUCCCGCGUGUGCGAUGAAGGCCUUCAGGUUGUAAGCACUUUUGGCAGAAAGAAACGGCCUGGGAUAAUACCCCGUGCAACUGACGGUACCUGCAGAAUAAGCACCGGCUAACUACGUGCCAGCAGCCGCGGUAAUACGUAGAGAUUAUAAGCGUUAAUCGGAAUUACUGGGCGUAAAGCGUGCGCAGGCGGUUCGGAAAGAAAGAUGUGAAAUCCCGAGCAACUUUUGGAACUGCAUUUUUAACUACCGAGCUAGAGUGUGUCAGAGGGAGGUGGAAUUCCGCGUGUAGCAGUGAAAUGCGUAGAUAUACGGGAGGAACACCGAUGGCGAAGGCAGCCUCCUGGGAUAACACUGACGCUCAUGCACGAAAGCGUGGGAGCAAACAAGUUUAGAUACCCUGGUAGUCCACGCCCUAAACGAUGUCAACUAGCUGUUGGGGCCUUCGGGCCUUGUUGGCUGGCUAACGCGUGAGAUUGACCGCCUGGGGGAUACGGUCGCAAAGAUUAAAACUCAAAAUUGACGGGGACCCGCACAAGCGGUGGAUGAUGGAUUAAUUCGAUGCAACGCGAAAAGCCUUACCUGCCGCCAGUAUGUCUGGAAUCCCGAAGAGAUUUGGGAGUGCUCGCAAGAGAACCGGAACACAGGUGCUACAUGGCUGUCGUCAGCUCGUGUCGUGAGAUGUUGGGUUAAGUCCCCGCAACGAGCGCAACCCUUGUCAUUAGUUGCCACGAAAAGAGGGCACUCUAAUGAGACUGCCGGUGACAAACCGGAGGAAGGUGGGGAUGACGUCAAGUCCUCAUGGCCCUUAUGGGUAGGGCUUCACACGUCAUACAAUGGUCGGGACAGAGGGUCGCCAACCCGCGAGGGGGAGCCAAUCCCAGAAACCCAGUCACGUAGUCCGGAUCGCAGUCUGCAACUCGACUGCGUGAAGUCGGAAUCGCUAGUAAUCGCCCGAGGAUCAGCAUGUCGCGGUGAAUACGUUCCCGGGUCUUGUACACACCGCCCGUCACACCAUGGGAGUGGGUUUUACCAGAAGUAGUUAGCCUAACCGUAAGGAGGGCAGUUACCACAGUAGGAUUCAUGACUGGGGCGAAGUCGUAACAAGGUAG